GGAUCAAUAUGUUGGUCGUGCCUCGGUACGUACUAGCUUAUUGGUUUCUCCUUUCUGAAGAACCAUGAUGUCAUUCAUUUGGUGUCGUGGGGAAUCAGGACUGUUACUUUUUGAAAAAUUAGAGUGUUUAAAGCAGGCUCACGCUUGAAUACAUUAGCAUGGAAUAAUGAAAUAGGACGUUUGAUUCUAUUUUGUUGGUUUCUAGGAUCGACGUAAUGAUUA
rnacentral:rRNA from 1 species